UACGGGGGGGGCAAGCGUUGUUCGGAAUUACUGGGCGUAAAGGGCUCGUAGGCGGCCAACUAAGUCAGACGUGAAAUCCCUCGGCUUAACCGGGGAACUGCGUCUGAUACUGGAUGGCUUGAGUGUGGGAGAGGGAUGCGGAAUUCCAGGUGUAGCGGUGAAAUGCGUAGAUAUCUGGAGGAAUACCGGUGGCGAAGGCGGCAUCCUGGACCGGCAUUGACGCUGAGGAGCGAAAGCCAGGGGAGCAAACGGG
rnacentral:rRNA from 1 species